rnacentral:rRNA from 1 species
GACGUAGGGCGCGAGCGUUGUCCGGAUUUAUUGGGCGUAAAGAGCUUGUAGGCGGUCUGUCGCGUCUGCUGUGAAAAUCCGGGGCUCAACCCCGGACUUGCAGUGGGUACGGGCAGACUAGAGUGUGGUAGGGGAGACUGGAAUUCCUGGUGUAGCGGUGAAAUGCGCAGAUAUCAGGAGGAACACCGGUGGCGAAGGCGGGUCUCUGGGCCGAUACUGACGCUGAGGAGCGAAAGCGUGGGGAGCGAACAGG